CAGGUAUAGAACUGGACAGUGCUAGAGAACUGGACACUGGAGAACUGAUAAGGAAGUCUCCCUAGGCUCUGCCUCUCACUCCGAGGACCAGACCAGAUCUUGGAGGGUCUAGUCCAACUGCACAUGCUCACAGGAAGCCCAGCUGAUUCCAGGAACCCUAGGAGGCAAUAUAGUUCUGGGGUCAGUAACAGUGGCUUUGGGGGCUGUAGGCAGAGUGCUCUGAGGCCCUGGGCCAGACUCAGGGGCUGGGCCAGGCUGUUGGCAUGCUGCUGUUUCUCUAGAGGAAUUAUGUCCUGCAGCCAGACCAGUAGAUAGGCUCAGGCCCAAGUAUGGUGGAUUAAGACUGACCUGAGAGAACACGAUAUCAGCACAUCCAUUGAUGGGAAGGAAGGACGUUGACCCAAUAGGCCAUUGGCUUUGUGGAACAACAGUCUUGAAAACCCUUGGAGAAGAUAGGUGCAGCCAACUCUGGAGGACUGCCUGAAAGGGAGCAGAGCCUGUAGAGGAGGCAUGGAGCCUCUGGAUGAAGGGCCGGUGCAACAUUCAGAGUUCAGUAUUGAUCGUGUUUGUGAUUUAAACACUCAGAGACCAAGGAAUUGACCACUUUGAUGUGGAUUGAUGGUUUCCUGAUGCUUUAUGACAGGUACUUCUAGGAGUCUCCAAGAUGGCUUGUGUGAACACGUGUCAGACCAGGUUAUUGGAGGCCACCGUGCUGUCACCUUCCUCUGCCAAGUCCAGGCCCACUGUGGGGACCGCUGUCCAGGCUUAGAAACUCCGGUAUGAACACUGGUGGGCGGGCACUCUCCCGUAGCUGCCCUUGGCCACAAUGGAGAUCUCCCCUGGCCCUCUCCCAGACUGAGUCACCUGUACUACACAGUUUGCCCUGUUUGACACAACUGCCAGCCAAACCUGAGAUCCUCCUGGGUCACUGGCCAUGCCCAGGAGAGGCCUCGAGGAGCCAAUCUUUGCAGCCCAGCCACAGAUGCUCUUGGCCAUCAAGGAGCUUUACUGAGCCCUGUCAGGGGACAGGAGGAUUCACUUCCCUCAGCUCCCCUCUGUGAGACACCUAUAGUAAGGCUACAGAUUUCAAAGGGACGCCAAAUUUGGUUGUUUCCACCAGCGAAACCCAUUUUUGCCCUAGGGCCCACAUAGAUCAUCAGCAUAGUGAUGUCAGCAGCACCCUUCAGGCCCAGGGGCAGAAAACUGCUGGUUGUGACAUCCUUCCUCUUCUCCUCCCCUUUAAAGACCCUGCCUUCCUUUUUCAUAAUUGGCUCAAAUCACUCUCCUCCCACUCUGAUCUCACAUUCAUUAAUUCAUCUGGUCAACAUCAAAUAUUCAUUAUGCACCAAUUAUCUGUAAAACGGGGAUAGGAAUAAUGAUAUUUCAUUGUCUUGGUUUCGGUCUUCGUGCAAGCAGACUUGAGACAAGGGCUUGGUUGCAGGCUUUUUAUUCGGGAGGUGAUCCCAGGAAGCAGGAGUGAGGGAGCAGGAAGAUUGAGCAGGGAAGGAGGAAAACAGUAACCUAAGGGUGUGCUAUUGGUUACUGCUGCUGGCAGUGGGAGCCCAAGUGCAUUGGCACAUCUGAGAAGCACACAGAAGCAUCCCAGGAUUGUCCUCCUGAAGGAAGGGAGGCAAGAGCAUUUAUCCAUAGCUCCUAGCCCCCUUGGUAGAUAGUUGCCUUGGGACAGGGAGUGAGAGGUUGGGGGUUACCUGCCCUGACCUUUAGAGGGCUGAGCUGAUUUCUGCAGCUUUAGCAAGUCUUUAAGGCAGAGAGGAGCAAGCCAUGGGCACAUGCCUAAGUGGCACUGUCCAAGGAAGAAGCUCCUCCUUGCAGUUGGACUGAAGUCAAGAGUGGGAUGAGGGGCCGUGAUACAGCACGGAAAACAUACACUACACUUUCUCAUGAAGUAGUUACCAUUAACUGAGUUAAUUUAUGUAAAACACCUAGAACAAUACCUGCCCCCAAUAAGGCUAUAUGUGUGUGUUUGCUGCUAUUAUUUGUGUGACUAUUACAUGUGCCUGGUGCUUCUCCAGGCUCUGUAGGUAACACUCUCAUGAGACUUACUUUCAGCUCACAAAACAUGCCUUGUUUAUGUGUCAAAGCUCUGAUUCUUGAUACUGUCCAAGUUCUUUUGCCAGGAGAUUCUCAGCCCCCAUGUUUGGGGAUGGCCAGGGGACAUGGCCCCACUUGACUGCCUGCCUUGCCAGUAUCUCUGAUCCAUUUUGGAGGCCUGCCCUGCCAUGCUCUGCUUCCCAGGAUCCUGAACAAGGAUUUGAGAACUAAGGUUUGAAUUCUGCAUAUGAAACAGUCAAACUCAAGUUGUCCAUCUGCUGGGAAAAGAAAAUAGCUUCAGAGCAAAGUCACUUGCCUUUUAAUAAUUGAUGGAUAAAAGAUUGCAGCAUGUGCAAAAACACACUUUCCAGAUCUGCCACUAAGAACGGUUCGGGCAGAAGAAACUGCUCUUUCCAUUGCCCCAGAGGCCAGGCCUGCCCUCAGCUAAUCUGGUGACCUAAUCCUUUCACAUGGGGGAGGACCAGAGCAUUUGCAUACAAGCAAUGAAUGCAUCUUUCCACCAGAGGCUUCCAGAGGCAAGUCCAAUCUAGUUAGUGCUUAUCUGUCCAAGCUGGCUGACCUUCUCCCAGUGCACAGUCCAGUCCCAAGUCCUCCCACCCCUGCCUUGUUCCCAGAACGAGUCUUGACUAUUCUAGCCUCAUACCUCGUCCCUAAGUUGCAACACUUGAUAUGGCUCCUUGAGGACUGCCUUGGCCAUCUCCUUGUUGCCGCUCCCACUGACUGCUUGGGUUUCAGCAGUUCACGGCUUCACGAGGCAACCCCUCCCUCUUGGUUCUAUGAUAACAUAACCGGUCACAGGCCUUUUGCCCAGCCCAGGCACUGAGGGACUGGGACCUGCCCUGGCCCCAUCUUGGCUUUCACAAAUGGGAGCUGGUGAGGUCUCACCCAGGUGAAACCCGGAAUUCACUUUCCUUUCAAAUGUUAAUAUGUUGCUGUGAAAACAUGCCUUUAUCAGUCCAGAAUCCUGUGUCUGUAAUCUCAAUAUCUAAAAGCUCUGAAAGCCAAAAGUUGGUUAUAAUCUGCAUGGUAGCAAAAUCUAACAGGGUUAAUUUCAUUUUCCAGAAUUAUCUGACCUGCACUAAGUGGAGGCUAUCUAUUGCCUUUAUUGAUCUCAUUUGGUGUGAAUACGCAUACAUGCUGCUGGAGAAAUAUUAAUGUCAUUGAUUACGAGGUGUCCCAGAGCUCACUGGGGUGUUGAUGUAUGAAGUGGUAUGUGCACCAAACUGCCUUUCUAAAAUACAUUCUGAAUUCUGAAACAUACCUGGCCCCAAGAUUUUGGAUGAGGAAUUUAGGCCUGUAUUAAAAUUAACCCAGGGAGGGUUAGGGCCUGGGAGAAGUGACCAUGAGUGGCCAUUGUUAUCUAAAGCUAAUGCAGGGAGCCAGGGGCAGCAGUGGCCUGAGUUAAAUAUCACUGGAUCCUUUAGUAUAAUUACAGAGUCAGGACUUAAGGAGAGUCAUUGACAUCCCUUUCAUCAAAAAGAAAAGAAAGAAUUGCUCCCUGUAAUCCAUACCCAUUAAUUCAGCAUCUCCCCUAGAUAGCUGAAACCCCUUCAGAAAGACUGGAAUAUUUUCUAGAUAAUAAAUCUGGGUCUUUAUCUUUCCCUUUUCUUCUUUCCCCUCUUCCCUUUGCCCCAUCCCUGAACUUCCCCCUCUUCUUGUGUUUUUGUCCAUAAAAGAGCAGCUUCUGUCAUUCAUGUGACAAUGAGCCUCCUUAGGUAAUUAAAGGGGAGUCUGCAGCCUGAACUACAAGUGAGAGGUCAUCUUUUUCAGCUUAUAGUCCUACCUCUACUGGGAGUGUGAUUCUGGGGACAAGAAGGAAGAAACGGUGCCAAAGCGCAUGGAUGGCCAAUUGUGCGCCUGGCUCUUCCAUGUGGAGUAGGCAGUGGGGCUGCUUGGAGCACACUUAGUGUUUGCCCUCCAGAUUUUUCCAGUCUCCUCAUAGAUGACCCAUGCCUGAUCUAGAAUAGGGAGGCAGGGUUUUAGAUUUAACUAGAAGUCUUCAUUUGUAUUCUUCCCAGAAGCAGACCCUGAGAUGAGGGUUCUGGGAAAUAAGGAGAACAGCAGUUGGGAAGAGGAGAACAAAGCCAGGGGAUGACUAGAGCUUAAUCCUUUGGGGAAACUCUGGGUAACAGCACAGAACACACCUCAGAGUUAUCUUCCUAAGGUGCCAGAUGAGGGAGUUGAGGUAUUUAUACACCCUCUCCUGAGACUCAUGGGUUGAGGGCUGCUGGAGGCUGCGAUGACAAUGCCCUGACACAUGGGCCUGCUUCCUGGGGGCAAAAGCCUCAGGCACAGACAUACAUACACUGGGGUUUGAAGUUGAUUGUUACAUACUGUAAUAGUAACAUCCAAGCAAUACUAGCAGGGCACUGACAGCAUCUAAUACAGUUUUUUUUUUUUUCACUAAAAUGCAAAGGAAUGUUUGCAUUUCUUUAUCAGAAGAAGGAAAAGAAUGCCAGUCUUCCCAUUUUGAUGGUUGUGCCCACAAGAACCAGCAGAGCCUGGAAGGACAAUAUGCUUGGUAGUGGGAUCAUUUGGGGCUAGUGAGGGGGCAGGGUCUCGGGAAAAAGGGCACGGUGCCUGGUGAAGGGAGUCAUUCUGGGGGUGCUGCAGUGAUGAUGCUAGUGGCAGCUGUGCCCUUGGCAAUGGGAGUGGGGGUCUGCUACUGCAGUGAACCCUGAAAGCAGUAGGGAGGUGCUUCUUUAUAUCCCUUAGAGACUUCAGCAAAAAAUAUCCUUGAAUAAGGCUAGGGUAGGCAAGGGAAAAAUGGCAGGCACAGCAGUGGACUCAGCUUGAUUGUGAAGCCCUUUCUUAGGCUCUGUAUGGGGCUGGAAAUACCACAUGUGUCCUGUUUGGUGGGGAGGGGUCCUGUUGGGUGGAUAAGUGAUGCUCAGAGCAUUUCUAGGGCAGGAGUUGUCAAACUUUUUCCUGCUAAAUAUUAUAGGCUUUAGGGGUACUACUGUCUCUGUUGUAACUACUCAGCUUCCCUAUUGUAUAUCAAGAAAUGGUCACAGACAAUAUGUAAGGAAUGCGUAUGGCUGUGUUCCAUCACAACUUUAUUUAUGGAUGCUGAAAUCAGAAUUUUAUAUAAUUUUCAUGUGUCACAAAUUUUUUUUUCUGAUUUUGUCCAUUCAUUAAAAAAUGCAAAACCUAUUUUUACCUUGUGAGCCACACUGAAACAGGCUGUAGGCUGAAUUGGGCCCGUGAACUGUAUUUGCAGACCCUUGUUCUAGGGCUUCUCUCUGACUUGGGCUCCAGGGUUAAGGGCAGAUUUCCAACCGAUUCUUGACAGCGUAGGAGGGGCAAACCUCCUCCUCACUCCAGUGAGAUAAGUGACUCAUCCAAUAAUGGCAAAGACUCAAAAGCAAGGAGAUAGAACCUCAUGUAUGCGUGGACAUUUAACUGGCUCCGGUGAAGGCUUGAAGCCCUAUUUGCUAAGCUUCUGCUCAUUUGCUGCUCCAGAAAGUGACAGCCUGCAUGACCAGUCCACAGCCUGUUACUUUGGGGAUUUUACAGGGUUCAUAGAGUAAAGAGGAGACUUUGGGUAAAUACAGAUCAAAUAUUUGGGUGACACUGGUAGAGUGAAAAGGUAGACUUUUAAGCCACAUCGCCUUGCACGCAGCUUCCAGCUCUGCCAUUUACAGCCUAGUAAUCUGAAUCAAGACACUUAAUUACUCUGGGUCUCAGUUUCCUCAUCCAUAAAAUGAGGAGCAAUAAUAACCCCCCUUUUAGGCUUAUUAUGAGGAUAAAGUAAGACAAUACGUGAAAUGACCUUGGAUCAAGCUCAGCUUGGCAUCUCAUCUUUACUUAAUGGAUGGUUUUAAAAUUAUUUUUAAUGCCAACUUCACAAAGUUGUGAUAGAAAUUAAAUGAGAUAAAUGUGUAAAGGGCUCAGGGACAUAGUAUGUGUUAAGAAAAUUAUUGCUACUAUUAAAAAUAUGAUGGAGAAAAAAAGGUUAGGUAUUUCUCCAUCUUCUCUUUGGGAUGAUGGCUCUCAAGAGGUGGGAAGAGGAGGACAAUGGCACCUGCAUAAUUUUGAUUGCAGGAUAUUUGUAUUCUUUCCCUUUCUGAAGUUCCUGAAUAGCAAAUGUUUUUGACAGCAAUUGGGUCUGGAUGCCACGUUUUGAAGCCCAACUAACAAACAAGAGAUUAUGAGACUGCAGUUAUCUUUUACCAGCUGCGUGGAAAAAUCCUGUCAUUUGGCAUCACACAACUAUGAAUUCUUUUAUCUCUUUCUCCCUUCUUAUGUGCUCCUGGAGCAUAUGUAAGCAAGCUCUGACAUUGAUAACACAUUCUUAUUAACCAUUAUCUGAAAGAUGGGAUGCCAACUUAGGAGUUUUGCAUUGCAUAUCAGAUGGAAAUUUCCAUUGGGGAAUGGAAUGUUAUCCACUCCUGGCCAAUGACAUCCCAAGGCUGAAGUUACCUUCUACAUACACCAUAGUCUGAGGUCAUGAAUUGGCUAGAUUUCUGCCCAAAUCUUUGCCUACUCCUUCAGAAGGAAAUGGAAUAUGAGGCAACUAUGGGCACUUAGAGGGAACAGAAAGUUGAUUUUCUGUCAUAUAAACGUUAGCUUCUUAGGCAGUGUAGAUGGAGCAGGUGACUGGAGCCAGAGGGAUGGGGUUGUGCUUGUAGAAAGGCCAAAUGAACAGGCUGAGUGGAGACCCUGUGGGGGCCCCUGAGAUGCACCCUUUAAUAUUCAUCCCACUCCAUGUGGUCAGUCUAAGCACAUCAUGUAAUUCCCAUUUUCCUUGACAGAAAUUGGUUAAGUAAAGGGCAUGUUAUCCACUCCUGGCCAAUGAGAUGAGGAAAAGCCUACAGUACGUGUGUGUGUGUUGGUUGGGGGGCAGUCUGGGGAAAGUUUAUCUUCUGUGAAGAAGGAACUCAGAGAGAGAGUGCCUUUUCGCCCUGUGGACUUUGCCAUGAGCGCCUGGUGCUAAGGUGUCAUCCUGCUAUCAUCCCUCUGAGAGACCAGCAUCAAGUAUUCCUGAAAGGCAAGAGGGAUGGUUCCUGGAUCCCUAAGGACAGCAUUGCCUGGCAGCUGAUCUCUACUUGCCUUCAAAUUAUAAUAUCUCUGUGCUUGCUCAUUGUUGAAGUCAGUUUGAGUUGGAACUCUGUUCCUUGUAACCAGAAGGAUCCUAUCUGGGGGCCACAUUUUUGACAUUGGAAUAUCACCAAGGUGAGAAAUAAGGGAAGGGUGUGCACUAGGCAUUUAGAAGAGGGGAGCGGCUGGGCACUUUUAAUGGGUUAGUGUGAAACAUACCUUGUACUCUAUCUGGAGCAUCCUAUAUUAAUUAACUAACUUAUUAAUGAGCCUGUAUAAGGCACCUACUACAUGGUCAGCAUAGGGACAGGUCUUUCUGAGAAUAAAAGAGUCAUAUAAAACAUCAUUCUAGUUGUCAAGCAUCAUAAAAUUUAGUUGGUGGAGACAAGACUAGAAAUAAAACAAAAUAAGUGGUUUAGAGAAGGGCGUGAUGAGUGAGUGCUAGAGUAGGUAAAAGCUUCGUGGGAGAUGGAGAAAGCUAAGCUGGGCCUUAAUCAGCAGAAAGAAUAAAGGUGAGGACAUAGAGACGUUAAGUCACAUGCUCCAACACAGCCAGAAAGUGGCAGAGCUGGGGUUCAAACCCAGUAUGUCUGACUCCUUCCAACCCUGGGCAUGUAACUACUAUGCUGGAGCAUACUUAUGCUCCCAAUGUGUAUUUGUAAGCCUGGAAUGCUCAUAUAUUAAUUUAUAAUGAGAAAUAGAACUGGAAAACAUUAUGAAUUCAAAAUCUGUGAAGCCAAGUUAUAUUCAGAAGGUUCCCAAGGCAGCUUGAAGCUGAUUAACAGACAGGAUAUCCCUGACACCAGGAUGGAGGCAUGUGUCUUGAAGGGCUAGUCCUUCUCUUCCUGGCUAGGUACUGGUAAGAGAAUGGCCAGUUUUGGAGUCUUGGGGCUCCCAUUUAAAUGCUCCAGGCUGUUCCUAAAGUCCUUCUUCAGUCAUGGUGUAAGUCAACUGGUCAGGCCUCUAGGUGUUCAUUAUGUUCACAUUUAAUUCAGUGGUGUACUAGCAAGUGUUUAACAAAUGGCUCUCUGGGGCACUGGGGGAAGCCCUAAUUUGUAACAUUCACCAAGUCAAGUUCCAUGGUGUAAAUACUCCCUCCAAGACUAUUUCAAGCUACCAGCAGGAAGAGAUGCACACAAUCAAUGGCUCUUGAGUGCUGGUACCGGCAGGCUCCAGCACACCACUGUGCUCACAUUGCAUCCUGCCUCUCAGAGCCUUCCCAGAUGCCUUGAUGGGAAUUAUGGAAUGUUCUCAGACUUUUGUAGAACAUUUACCAAAUUAGUCACAGCCAUGUGUGUGAACUUUUUCAGUUUAAUUAUUGGAAAAUGGCCUCACUUCCAAAUUCUUGGAGAACACUGUUUUUACCUUCAUGUACCGUCAACUAAUAGAGCUGUAAGGUGGCCAAAGAAACCAAAGAUGGAUUUCCUUUCUGUAUUGCCUAAAGUCCAGAGUUCUGUUAAAAAUUACUGUCAAGAGUGAGGCUUGGGGUCUGUGCUGCACUGAGUAAUACCAUGGGUAGCAAUAGAUAAAUUGGCACAGAAGAAUCUUCUACAGCACCACCGCCAUUCACCCCCUGCCUCACUUUGCUGUCUUACCCAACAUUACAUGACAGAAAAAAGAAAUUGUGUUGCCUAGUAACAGCUCUGAGCAAGGGGAGACCAGUCAAUACAAUUCUGAAUUAAGGCAACAUCCACAAAAAAAUCCAUCUUGAGGAUUUAUACGAAAACCAAAGUGUAGUUAUAGUCUUACAAGCUGGUGGAGAAGUCCCAUUAGCUUUGGGUAUUGGAUUAUUUAGAAUAAUAUAUCUGAGAUAUAGAUUUCUUUUUCUGGGAAGAAUAAUCUACUCUGAGGCCAUGAAAAUCAAUAGGCCACUUUGAAGACUGACUUCAGCUGUUAUUGGUAAUGUUUUGGUUGUGUUUGUGAAUCAACAAUCAAGCAAAAAUAAGGCCAUUUAGUAGCUCACACUAAAGAGCACUACUUGUCAAUUUUGCAACGAAGCCUCUCCAUCCAUUGAAUGAAACAGCAUCUCCCAAGGGCUGCUGUGAGCCUAUGGAGACCCUGAAAGCUGACACCAGCACAAAGAAUUAAGGAUAAGUCUUCCAGGGUGGCCAGUCAUCCCAGCAUAUUGAGACUGAGGAGUUUCCCAGGAUGCUGGACUUUUAAUGCUAAAACUAGGAAACUCCUUGGCAAACUGGGACAGUUGGUCGCCCUGGAUCAGUGGUUCUCAACUGCAGAUGAUUUUGCCCCUCAGGUAGGGUUGCCAGAUAAAACAGAAGAUACUCUGUUAAGUUUGAUUUUCAGAUAGACAAUGAAUAAUUUUUCAGUAUAAGUAUGUCCCAACUACUACAAUGGGACACAUUUAGAGUUAAAAAGAAUUAUUCUUUGCUUGUCUAAAAUUCGAAUUUAACUAGGCUUUUAACAUUUUUUAAAAAAUUUUUUUUGUAAAACUGACAGUCUUACCCCCAGGAGAUAGUUGGUAAUGAUUGGAAGCCUCUUCGGUUUUCACAACCACAACUUCAUCAGGGAUGCUACUAGCAUCUAGUGAGUAGAGGCCAGGCAUGCUGCUAAACUUCCUAUAAGGCACCAAUGCAGACAACAGCUGCCUAAAACAAAGAAUUAUCUGGCCUGAAAUGUCAGUGGUGCAGAGGUUGGGAAAUCCUGCCGUAGACCUAAACAAGCUGGUGCCACGGAGCUCCAUCUUCCUUGAGAAAACACUAAAGGAUGGACGUGGGCUUCCCUGCUUCAUGCACACAGAUGGAAAAAUGUCACAUACAUUCCUGACCUUUAACACUUUCAGUCUGAUGCGUCAAACAGCCAUUGGGAGCUUAAGAAGUGUCUAGCAAAAUGGGACAAUUCCCCUUGCCGGACUCCCCCUUCCACACUUGGAAGGGUGAGGCAGUGUGUGUCAUCAAACAAUAGAGCAGAUAAAAGCUGAAUCAGGGUGGUCUCCAGGACACCCCCAUCUCCCCAGACUUCUAUGGUGACAUUUCUUGCACUCCUCAAGUUUGUUCAUGGCUUUGAAAACACAGUUUCAGAAUGUCUUCAUUGUUUCAUACGGUACUGGCCGCGCCUGGAGUUUUCCUGAAGGAAACUGUAGCAGCAGGAAUUUUGUGCAAUACUAUAAUAAGGGGGCUUUAUCCUUCCAAAAAUACAUCCUUUCUCCUUGUUGCCAGCUCUCCCACAGCCCUGUGAAAAAUGUAGCUCAGAAGUUACUGAGGCGUUUUUCUGUUUUUCCUUUCUCACUUUAGUUCAUAUCAAGCAACAGAAAGCAAUUCUAUUAUUCACACUUAGGCGUGCUAGCUUGAAUGAAUGAACAAAUCAAAUAUCAAUCCUUUUCUCAUUUCCCUAGUGUGUAAGAACUGAAAUGUAGAAAGUGGCAUCUGCUUAAAAGGAAUUGGUGAAUUUGACUUCUCUAGGUACCUUAUCCAAGUGGAAUGAGUGUUUAAUGGGCACAGAGUUUCAGUUGGGAAGAUCGAAACGUUCUGGUAGAUGGAUGUUGGUGAUGGUUGCACAACUAUGUGAUUAUACUUAAUGUCAUGGAACUGUACACUUAAAAAUGGUUAAAAUAGUAGAUUUUAUGUUAUGUAUAUUUAAUCACAGUUUAAAGAAAGGAAUUGGUGAUGCAUGUCUAUGCAUGUAAGUUUUGAUAUAUGCUUGCUGAUUGAUUAUUUAUCUAAGGUCUGUUUACAUAUUUUCCCCCAGUAAACUUGGUACUUGCCUCAUUGUCCUGUAUCCUUAUCCUUAAAUUAAUUGGACAAUGCCUCUUUCUUCUUCUCCCUCUUCUUAACUCCAGCAGUCACAUGAAGAUAGAAAUAUAUUUUGUCUUUGGAAGUUACUCUUUUUUAAUUUUUUAAUUUUUGUGGGUACAUACAUAGUAGGUGUAUAUAUCUAUGGGGUACAUAAAAUGCUUUGAAAUAGGUAUGCAAUGCAUAAUAAUUACAUCAUGGAAAAUGGGGUAUCCAUCCCCUCAAAUAUUUAUGUUUCAUGUUAUAAUCCAAUUAUACUCUGGAGUAUACGCUGAGUACUCCAAAUGUACUCAAUAGUACAAUUAAAUUACUACUGACUAUAAUCACCCUGUUGUACUACAAAAUACUAGGUCUUAUGCAUUAUUUCUAACUAAUGUUUUUGUACUCAUUUACCAUUCCCCCUCCCCUUCACAGUCCCCCAUUACCCUUCUCAGCCUGUGGUCACCAUCCUUCUACUCUCUAUGUCCAUGAGUUUGAUUGUUUUGAUUUUUAUUAACAAAUCCUGCAAAUAAGUUAGAAUAUGCAGUGUUUGUCUUUCUGUGCCUG
rnacentral:lncRNA from 1 species